rnacentral:rRNA from 1 species
UUGGAAACAGGUGCUAAUACCGUAUAACAAUCGAAACCGCAUGGUUUUGAUUUGAAAGGCGCUUUCGGGUGUCGCUGAUGGAUGGACCCGCGGUGCAUUAGCUAGUUGGUGAGGUAACGGCUCACCAAGGCCACGAUGCAUAGCCGACCUGAGAGGGUGAUCGGCCACAUUGGGACUGAGACACGGCCCAAACUCCUACGGGAGGCAGCAGUAGGGAAUCUUCGGCAAUGGACGAAAGUCUGACCGAGCAACGCCGCGUGAGUGAAGAAGGUUUUCGGAUCGUAAAACUCUGUUGUUAGAGAAGAACAAGGAUGAGAGUAACUGUUCAUCCCUUGACGGUAUCUAACCAGAAAGCCACGGCUAACUACGUGCCAGCAGCCGCGGUAAUACGUAGGUGGCAAGCGUUGUCCGGAUUUAUUGGGCGUAAAGCGAGCGCAGGCGGUUUCUUAAGUCUGAUGUGAAAGCCCCCGGCUCAACCGGGGAGGGUCAUUGGAAACUGGGAGACUUGAGUGCAGAAGAGGAGAGUGGAAUUCCAUGUGUAGCGGUGAAAUGCGUAGAUAUAUGGAGGAACACCAGUGGCGAAGGCGGCUCUCUGGUCUGUAACUGACGCUGAGGCUCGAAAGCGUGGGGAGCAAACAGGAUUAGAUACCCUGGUAGUCCACGCCGUAAACGAUGAGUGCUAAGUGUUGGAGGGUUUCCGCCCUUCAGUGCUGCAGCUAACGCAUUAAGCACUCCGCCUGGGGAGUACGACCGCAAGGUUGAAACUCAAAGGAAUUGACGGGGGCCCGCACAAGCGGUGGAGCAUGUGGUUUAAUUCGAAGCAACGCGAAGAACCUUACCAGGUCUUGACAUCCUUUGACCACUCUAGAGAUAGAGCUUCCCCUUCGGGGGCAAAGUGACAGGUGGUGCAUGGUUGUCGUCAGCUCGUGUCGUGAGAUGUUGGGUUAAGUCCCGCAACGAGCGCAACCCUUAUUGUUAGUUGCCAUCAUUCAGUUGGGCACUCUAGCAAGACUGCCGGUGACAAACCGGAAGGAAGGUGGGGAUGACGUCAAAUCAUCAUGCC